UUUGAAGAAAACCAUCAUGCAUGAAUCAGUUUACCAUUUUCUACAGGGGUCUGCUUUAAUGAACACAAGCACUGCAGGAGAUUGAGGCUAUCUGUCAUCAGAGAGAGAAGUCACAGAAUCGUGGAAGAUCUGGCGUGGAGGAAGCGAGGAUGCACAAUAGAGUCCCUGUGUUCUUGGCGACUCAAUGGCUACAGAAGUUUUGGAGCCUGCAUUUUUUUCAUUUCAGAUAAGUUAUUUUCCAGCUUCACUAAAUUGUUUUCUUUCUUUUCUCUUCUAUGGUAAACAAACAAAAAGAUCCUUGUUUGGCUUCCCUUAAUGUCUUCUACCGUUUUAGCUUCAAAGGGUCAAUGUGCAAAAAAGAUUUUUCACACUAGAGGAAAGAUUUGAGCUCUGGUCAAUUAUAGCUUAAUUAUCAGUCUCUAGGUUUCAAGCUGUAGACAGACUCAUACAUUCUCUCCUCAAGAUACGUGUGAAGGAUGGUUCUUUCCUCCGAAGUUUCAAGUAAUCAGAGGGAACCUAUUCCUGUUGUAAAUUAGAGCGAGAUGUGACAUACUAUCUAGUGUGGCCAAAGGUGGGAUUUACCUGUAUCCAAUUUUCAGUAUUCCCUUUAGAAAUUAUGUACAUCCGAACGUGAGACAGUCAGUUAACAAACAUUGUUGAGCACCUGCCAAACAGAUAACUCCAAUCAGUGAGUCAAUGGGCUUUGAGAGAGGCAAGCCCUAUGUGUUCUAAGAAUACAUCAGGAUUCCUUAGUUAGAAUUUAAUGAGAAUGUGAUUAUAAAUAGCCCCUGUGCUACAUCUUUCUACUUCCUUGACCCCACAUGCAAGAAAUCUUCCCUUCUAGCCCCAGUUACAAAAAUCCAGAGGCAGGGACUCUUAUUGCUAAGUUUGUGUUACAUCCCUAUACCUUGGACCAACCACUGUCACCAGGGCCAUGGGUUACUGUGAUUUGUUGCAUCUGGGUAAUGUAGCUGGAGGGCAGCAAACUGUGCUUGCAGACACUGUAGACUCACACGGAAUGAGUAGUGGGAGAGGAGCUGUUUCUCAAAGGAAAGAGAGGUGAGGCUAUUGCUAAGGGAACGGAUGCUGAGAAGGCCAUAGCAAUAGAGGGUGGUUAACAAAUGACGGUAGGCAGGACACCAAAGAGGGGAGUCAGGCAUCAGGGAUGGUUUACCCAACCUGAGUCAUUUAAAAAAUGUGAGCUAAGUGUUGAAGAAAGAGUAGGCAUUCUCCAGGUGUUUCUGUGUGUAUUUGUACACGCAUGAGAGGUUAGCGUAGUCUGGGUAGAGGGAGUAGAGUGGGUAAAGGUACAAAGGUGGGAAAAAAAGAAAAUGACCUAUUCGGGGAACUAAGGAGUUUGGUGUGGCUGGAACGGAGGGUAAGAUGAUCAGGCAGCAAGAAAUGGAGAGCUUUGUAUACUAUGGGAUGGGAAAUCAUCUACUGAAUUUACAUUGGCUAAUAUUUACUGAGCACUUCUUAGUGCUGGUGCUGCUCUGUGCAUUUCACCUGUAUCAGCUCAUCUAAUCCUCACGUCAACCUGAGGAAGUGAGCAAGGGGGACCUACAAAUAUGUAACAACCAACCUGGCGUGGUCAUGAUUGGUGACCGUUGAGUCAGAAUGGACAUCAGCUGUAAAGCACUGCUACUCCCCACGGUGUGUAUCCGUGGCCACCAGCCCUGGGUGUGGGCACGCUUAUAAUCCUUGUUUUACAGGUGAGGAAGCUGGAGCACAGUGUUGUUUACUUGCCCAAGCACACAUGGUAGCAGCAGAGGAAGUAGGCCUCAGACCAGAGGGGCUGCUCUGUACCACUUGCCUGUAAAGGGGGAACGCGAAUUCAUUCUUUAGAAAAAGGAUGUGAGAGAGUGUAAUUCUCAUGAAGACAGCCACUGGGUCUGUGUUUGUUUCUCAUUAUAUCCCCAGCACUGUUUCUGACACAUGGUAUGUUCUCAAAAAUACUUAUUGACUGAAUGACUAGAAAGCUCAUUGCAGAUUUGAGAAAGGCAGAUAAGACUGAGGCAUUCAUCCAGAUAAGAAAACAAUAAAAUCUUGAAGUAAGGAGCCAAUUGGAACUGGUAAGGAACUAAGGUGACACCAAUUGGAAGAUAUAAAAGAGGUAAGAGUAAACAGAAUUUAGUGACUGUUUAGAUGUGGGACAUGAGUCCCAGGUUUCUAUUUUGAACAAUGAAGGAGGUGGUGUUGUCAUUCACUGAAAUAGGAAGUGUAAAGAGAAUAGGUUGUUAGCGGUGGGUAACGUGAAGGGGGAUGAGAGAAGAUCAUGAGUUCCUUUUGUGGAUGUCGAAUUGGAGUGCCUGCAGCUGCUUAGGAGAAACUGGAUUUGGAAUCCAGAGAGAGACCAGUGCUGCUGAUGUAGAUGGGUGAGUAGUCAGGAUACAGAUGGAGGUUAAAGGCAUGGGGGUAGAUGGUCAUCCAGGAAGAGUCUAUGCAGAGAAGAGGCUGGAGGAUGGCGUCCUGGGGCAGGGGAGAGAAGCAGAGGCCCAGUGAGAGAAUGAGAGUGAGUGGCCAGGCAUAGAGGAGGAGGAACCAGAGAAAGCGUUGUCAAUAAAGUCCAAAUUUGUAGGGGCAUCAGUAUUUGUGGUGUUCUGAGUGGCCUGGCUCUAAAUGUGGAAAAGGUAGCAGGCAGUGGGAUUGAUCUGGAAUUUGGCUUUUUCCGAGUGAAUAUGGUCCACUAUAGGCAAAGGAGUUGACAGUGACAAGAAAUGCUGUGUGAUGGACCUGAGGCCCCGACAGGUAGAGCAGGAAGCAAGUAUAGUAAGGGCUGAAUUAGAAGUCAGUCAAGGAUGGGAGAUCUCAGUGAGUCAAAGAGAGGGUGUGGUGGGUGUAAGGACUCAGGGAGCUGAAGGGAUAGGAAGUUGUAGUCAGAGUGGCGUGCUGAAAUCCAGAUCCAGGUGGUAACAAGGUCCAAAGGUGUGGUCGUGGGUCAUGGGUGUGAGAGUUGAAAUGCAAGGGAAGUGUACUAGUCAGGUUCUCCAGAAAAACAGAACCAAUAGGAUAUAGAUAUAUUAUUGUAUUUGAUAUUGUAUGUAUUCCAUACUUAACAUCUAUCCAUCUGUAUAUUUGUAUCUCUAUCUAUGUAAAAGAUUGAUUCUAAGGAAUUGGCUCAUGUGAUUAUGGAGAUGGGCAAGUCCUGAGAUCUGCGGGUGAGUCAGCAAGCCGGGCAUCUGGAAGAACCAAUGGUUUACUUGGAGUCUGAGUCUGAAGGCCCGAGAACCAGGAGAGCUGACGAUACAGUUUUAGUCCUAAGGCCAGCAGGCUCGAGGUCCAGGAAGAGUAGAUGUUUCAGUUCAAGUCUGAAGGCAGAAGAACUCUCUUUUACUCAGGGGAGGGUUAGCCUUUUCGUUUUAUUCAGGCCUUCAACUGAUUGGAUGAGGCCCAGCCACGUUAGGGAGGGCAGUCUGCUUUACUCAACCUACUAAUUUAAAUGUGAAUCUCAUUCACCCUCACAGAAGCACCCAGAAUAAUGCUUGACCAAGUAUCUGGGCACCCCAUGGCCAAGUGAAGUUGACACAUAAAAUUGACCCUCAUUGGGAGUGGUCCAUUUACUCCAGACCCUCUGUACUUGCUCUGGUCUUCCUGGCCUUGACCUUUGGGCUCCAAAUCCCUACUUCAGCUCCUGCCUUUGGCCAUCGACUACGAAAGCUGAGUCUGCUCAUUAGAACUGUGACGGGAAGUUUCUGUGCAGAUUGGGGUUGAGACCUGGGAGCUGGGACUGAGUUCUGACCCUGCUAUACAAAGAAUGCUUGCUCGGAGGGGCCUGCUGUUGAGAGAGACGCCUAGAAGUAUUGCUGCAAUUGUCUAAUGUGUGCCCAGUUCAUGAUUCCCACAGGGACACUCAGGGCUAAACUGGCUCCUCAGAGCAUUUGAGGACCAAAGUAAAGAUUGCAGCGACAUGGCUUCGUGCCACCCUCAGGUGAGUUUGAUGGAGCAGAUGACAGACACUGGCUGCAUCCAGCUACAAACUGAAUUGCACUCGCUGCAGGAUGAGGGAUGUCAGAACAAAACAUGCUUGGGACUACCCAGAGAAUAAGUUAUGAUUAGGUGUCUUGUUUCCUGAGCAGAGCAGUGUUAACGGAAAUAAUGGCAAUUCUCAUAAGUUUGUGGCUACUGGGUAGUGGAUGAAUCAUGAGGAAAAGACCCACCUUUGUUUAGUGAUUCUUGUUACUCCCAAAUGUAAUGAGAUUAGCAAGGAAACCAUAUUUUUUCAGGAGCCGAUAAGGUAUUAAAAAGGCUGCCUCCUCUGAGCCUCCAAGGACUGGUUUUGUAGAAGAGAAAUCAGGCAACUUCUCUGGGGAUAGGCUUUGUGGGAGACAGAUAACAUAUCAUUUGGGACUCUUUUUUUCCCCUUAAUUUUGCGGCAGAUUGGUUGUCUUCUCACCUUUUCCCACCAUGAUGCGACAGCCCCCUCCUCUGUUUGAACUGCCUGGAACGAAAGUCCUACCUGUAUUCCACACUCCACGAACUCCACAGGAGCCUUCAGGGCGCCCACUCAUUCCUCUGCUUCUUAACUCAGCUGUUCAAUGAUUGGCUUCGACUGUCACCUUUUCAUCUGUCUGGGACUGAAUCCUGGCUCCAUCUUUUACAUAAUGUGUAAUCUUGGGAAGUUUAUUUAAUGUCUGUGGAUGUCAGUUUCCUUAUCUAUAAAAGAGUGAUAAUAAUAGAUUCUACCUCCUGGGUUACCAUGGAGAUUCAAGAAGAUGUUUUAGAUAGUCAUUGCAAUGCUUGGAAACAGCAAAUGCUCUCUAGUUGUUAGCUCUAAUUUUCCUUUCUGAUUCUGCACCUCAGAGUCUUCCAGGUUGUCUCUAUAGGUCCGUAGCUGAUCUGUGUGUAUUGACUCCCUAACAAUAGAAUGUUGACCCAACUCUGAAUCAUGUUUUAUUUCCUAUAGGUGACCAGUUUAUGUUUGAAAGUGGAAACAGGAAAAUCUUGCUUUCCAUAGUCUGCCUGAGUAACCAAACUUCACCUGGUUGAGUGGAUUUGAGGGGAGUGAGGUGAGGGAAGGAGUGUUUCGGCCGUACACCUCAAUUCUCAAAUCCUACUUCUCAGCUUUCGACUGUGCAGGAAAUCAGAGAUUACAUUUCUGACACUGUUGACCUUUUUGCUCCUGACUCAUCUCAGAUGAUGCCAUAAGGAAACGAGGGCUCUGGUCCUGAGUCAAAAAAGCCUCUCUCCUAUUGGUGGGAAAUACCUGCGCCGGAUGGGACCAGCGCUGCUGCCCCAGCUCCCCGAGCAUCGCUGAGCAAAAACCUCUCACUUCUUUUUGGUCAGUGGCCCCCAAAACUGAGGGUGUCUGCAAAGUCAGAGGUUCCCAGCUCUCCUUGUGCAUCAGAAAAACCUGAGGAACUUUAAAAACUGGAGAGAACCUGUCCCGUGCCGGGAGAGUCUGACUUCAUAGGUCUAGGAAAAUAGCUGGGAAUGCGUUGUUUAGAAGGCGUCUCAGGUGGGUCUGAUGUGUCUGGCCUGCCGUGGGUUGCUGUUUCAGAACCUCUGUACCAGCUUGCCUGCAUGAUUUCUCACCUGUUUCCACUUUCAGGUCGCUCCCUCAUAUUAAAACUUAACAGUAGACUUCCAUCGAUGGUAAUUUAAAUUCUCAUUCCCUCCCUUUGUCCCACCCUCUCUUCUUUCAUCUCUUCCAUAUUUUUCAUAGAACGCUAAAAUUUGUAGAUACAUUGUGAUCAUCUCAUCCAAACAUUGCUUUGAGACAAGGGAGGAUAAAGAACCGAACCAUUGAGAGAAAUCCCUUACUUAUUUAGCCCAGUGAGUUUUCCUGCAAGUCUCUUGAUGUCAGAUAACAACUCAGAGUAGGACUGCUUUACAAUGAACACAACGUACUCGAAAAGACUUAGGGCAGAGCAGCUGCCAACCUGCUGAGAUUGAUACUUUGUGCAGCUGGCUUGGUCAGACCCUGCCUUCUGGCCUCUGCUGUCCCCUCCACGUGUCAGGCCCCAUCCGCGACUCAAGACUCAGCUUCUAAGACCUGGUGACUUUCUCACUGGGGCCCCUUGGUUUGGCGCUGGGUGGGAUUUGGUGACGGCUUUCCUUCUGGGUCUGGGGCUUGUCUGCGCUUACUCUGCCACCUUCCAUUUAGCCAGUCAGCUCCCUUAGCCCUCUCCUGGCUUCCUUGAACCUUGGCUCCUUCCCUGGGCAAAUGGCCUUCGGGAGCCACAGUACCCAACCAACUUUACUCCAGUGUUUGAUCAGCUUGAUGGCCGAACAGUUUCUUCCUUCUGUCCAGCUGAGAUCUCUUUGUCACACUGUAACCAUUAUCCCCUUAUUGGUCCUCUGAGGACUGAUAUCCGCAAGGACCCAUUUUCCAUUCCUUAAAUCUUGUCUUUCAUUCAUCUCUAAACUCACUCUUUUUCCUUAAAUGAAUUAACAGAUAUAAAGCACUUUGAGCAGUGCCUGAUAUGGGGUAAGCACACAUGGCUGUUAGUAUUAUUAUUUUCUUUAUAUCCUUUUAAUAGUUUUCUGAACAGAGAUGGACUUGUGAUUUCUCCAAUAAGGGUCAGGGUAAUCUGAAUAGGGUAAGAUUACUGUCGUGUUCCUCUUACUACAGCAACACAGAUUCCUCUUUACUCCCUCACAGCCCCCUAACCCUCAACCUCUCACACCUCGGCUAACUUGCUGACUUUCAAUUUGUUUUCAAUGACAGUGACCUCUACGUCCUUUUUGUCACUAGUGCUUUUUCCUCUCGUUAAAAUGUGUAUGUUUUGGCAGUAAUUUAAUUGUGAUAAAAGGUAUACGGAUCUAUUUUCCAUAAAAAUUGCUUAUUGUACCAUAAUUUGUUUGUAGUAGGAAGUUAUGGUCCAGUAAAUUCUUCCAUAUAUUUACAUUGCCAGAAACACUGUUUGCAGAGCAGCGGACAUUUUUAGUUUCAUUCUCCCUAGGUCUGUUUUCAGUCAGGGGUAAAAUCUCCCCCUAAGAUUCAUCACCUAAACAAAGUGUGGUCAAUGAGUUUACCUUGAGUAAUUGUUGGGGUGUGAUAUGAAAUGUCCUGUGUGGGUGCGAGCCCUCUUACUCUAAGACUUGGCUUAAGUCUGUAGACAGAGGACCUGCUGUCAUUUUGCCAAGAGUCAAGGAAGGCGUGAGAGGUUGUUGGUUAGUGGGUAAAGUCUGCUAAAGCUGGGAAUUAAAGAAAAUCUGUAUCUGUAUCUAUAUCUCUUAAACCUUUUAGUUUAAACUUAAAAUGCAUGGAUUAUCUUUUACUGUAAGGGCCAACUUUUCCUGGCUGUGAGUUCAUUGUUUGGAGUUGCAUGUCCUCAUUCUUCUAUAAACCGCUCUCCUCAUGCAUCAUUUACAACAUGCAGUUUCAGUUUCUUUAAAGUGGAGCGAGAUCUUGAAAACAUUUGUGAAGUGAGCCGAGUGGAGUCUCUGUCUAGACUAGAGUUUUGGUACAUUUUUCUCCGACCCUUUUAUGGUUGCUUUACCCAUACUGGUAUGGACAUCUGUUUGUAUAGCAACUCACUUUUGAGUUUUUUGAGACAUCCAACUGAAGUUUUACAGAACAGAAUUUUCUUUUUACAUUAAAAUUUCAUCAGUUUACAUGAUAUUUAAUAUAAUUACGUAAUUAUAAUAAUAAAACAUUGGGCAUAAACAUGUCUGGGAAUGAAGACAAGGGUUCUUUAUAGCUCAGCCGGUGGGCGCAGAAGCGCGGGGUCUGCCGGAGCGCAGUCUGUGCCGGGCCACGGGUCAGUGGGUUUGAAAGAGGGACACGGCGUUAGGUGUAACCUCAUGUCCCAGUUUGUGCGUAUUGUCCUGGCUUAAUCAUUAAGAGCUCCCUUCUCACCCUUCAGGAGGUCCUGGGCAAUAAAUUCUAUGAUCACUCCUAGUGUUGGUUAACCUAGUCAGUCUGGUUAAAUGGAGGUAAAAGUUGAUUUAGAGAGUUUCUACCAAACUUGAUUCAAGUUUAACUGUAGCUGACUUGACAGUGCCUACAAAUCCUUGCCAAGUGAUGGUGGUUAGAAUUGGAGUUGUCAAGGAGCUAGAGUUCUUGAUUAAGCUUGGGAACGGGCCUGGAGCCUCUGAGCAGCCCAGGAGGCUGCUCAGAGGCUGUGAUUGACGGCUUCCCAGGUAAUGCUGCUGCGAGGGGCUUCCCUGCUGCUGCUGGGCGGGGUCGCUCGUUCAGCCAGGUGGGUACUGGAGGCAGGUGAUGAUCUUGAGCACCAAGGGUGACUUUCAUUGACAUGGGAAUCACGGGCACAGCAUCUUCUGGUGGGAGCGGGGGGGGGGGGGGGCGUGCGUUCUAAGCAUUCGUAGCUGUGGUUAACUGGAAAUGAUGUUGAAUAAAAGCCUCUCUACUUCCUGGCAGUGUUUCUGGGGUUGGAUCUCCCCAACUUCAUCCAUCUUCUCCAUCUCUGCAGCUGCCUUCCUGCAUUCUUUCCUCAGUCUGUCCUUCUCUUGGUUCUUUCCCAGCACUGCCUCUUCCCUAUCUGUUCAGAAUCCCCAGAGCAUGCUGACCACCAGUGUGUCCUAUCCUGUGUGAACCAACCCCGCUCCGCCCAACCAUGCUCAUUCAGGAGGAGCGCUGCCCACCACCACACCUCUUCGUUCUCCCCUCCUUUCACACACACUCACCUGUUUUGCUGUGAGACCUCUCUGUUGGUUUCUGGGCCUGGAGGACAACUCUAAAGCUACAGUCCCUGGGAUGGAUUCAGCCUGGAGUUGGCUUUAGAUCCUGGCAUCUGGGAGAUCUGACCCUCAGCUAUGGAGUCCUCUGUGUAGUUUGUAACUGAGUGCUGAGCUUGGGGUGGGGGCAGGAGGGCCAAUGUGGAAACAUUCACGGGGCCUGAAGACUGCUAGUGCACGGAUGCUUUUAACACUUUGACUCAGUUUCAGAUUAGCCAGUAAUUCAGUGUUUGCUAUACGCCUGGGUACAAUGCUAGUUACUUUCAUGAAUACUGUAAUAUUUAAUCUUUUCAACAACCUUUUGAGCUAAUAUAACACACACACACAUACACAAGCAUGCACGCACUUUUUUUUUUUUUAAACAAAUGAAGAUAUUAAAGCUCAGAACGUAUAAAGAAUCUUCAUGGGCACACCGACGGCAAAUGUAGACCCAGGAUUUGAACCUGAUGCCUCUUGACUCAGCAUCUCCUUCUUCCCAGCAGACUUUAGUGUUCCUCUUCUGGAAAGGAUUGUUCGGAGAGCGUUGCUAUUUACACACUGUAAGUAAAGAGAUUAAUGCUAUGGCUUUCAGACUUUUAGAAACAUCAUAAAACCUAUUAUUUAAAUGAAGUCUUGUGAGGAAGCUCAAAAGAUAAAAUGGCUAAGUGCGAAGCUGGUCCAGGCGGGUGGAGGGUGUCUGCGGUCAUCUCCAUUUCUUCCCUGCCUCCCAUCCUCACAGCCCCUCGAAGCAGGCUGGGGGGCACAGUUCAGUGAUGCGGGAUUAGUGGAGUCAUACAUGUGCAUCCAUUUAAUUCCACCGGCCCAAGAAGGCGGGGCAGAGAGCUCGCCUCGUCCCUGGCAACCAGCACCAGGGGCCCUCCCUGGAUGUGGUGAGAUGACUGUUCCACGUUCACCUGCUGAUUUCUUACCUCUGUAUAAGCAGAUGCAUAUCUAUUCUCUUUUUCCUUUUUGGUGAUCAAAUUGAAAUAAUUUGCAUUUAUGAUCUUAUUCACUUUCCCAACCAUCCUUUGGAAUCCCAAAGACCAAAAACAACACUUUUUAAAGGUACUCUGACAAGUAGGGUGACCAACCAGCCCAAAAUGCCUAUGACUUAGGGAUUUCCCGGGACACUAGACUUUCAGUGCUGAAACUGUGACAGUCGCAGGCAAACUGGGACAGUUGGUGGUGAAGCCAUGAGGUCACAGGAACUGGCCCUUGAGGACUGCUAACCAGGGCACCGGGACACCUCUACUCCCGUGACCUGGCCGGUUGGCACCUGGUCCCUGGGAUCAGGUGAACUGCAGAUCGUGUAAGGAGUCUGGUUAACACUGCUCCUUUAUCCCUUGCCCUCAACUAGAGCUGAAAAAUGAGUUUACGAGGGUGAAAAUCAAGUUCACACAGGUAGCCAUUUCAAAGAGAUUAAAAAGCAAUACCUUUUUGUUUUUAAAGCAUAGUUAGAAUAUAGGCACUCUCUCUUUUUCUGCGAUUGUUAAAGUAAAUGAGUAGAUAAAGCUAUUUUUAAGGUUACCUAGCAGAUAAGUGCUUUUUAUUUUCUAUGGAUUUUGUUUAUCCUUUAUCAAUUUUCUUUAUUUGGCAUAAAUAAAUGAGUUGGCUAAAACAAACCCCCAAACACCUCUUGUUAUCUGCAAAGUGUAGUAAGCUAUAGUAUCUGGCAGUGUGAUUAAAUGGAAAAAAAAAGACUGGAGUUGCUUACCGACUGUAAGACAUUGGAAAGGUCCCUUAACCUCUCAGAGCCCGAGCUUCUACACUGUCUCAGUGGAGAUAAUUGCACCUGCCUAACGGAUUAGCACGAGAUGUCAAAGUGCUUGGUAAAUUGCAUUUCCCCGAUAAACGUUAGCUUCUUUUCUUCCUGGCAUGGUCAAGGUUUUGCUUAAUCAAAUAUUCUCAUUAGAAGAAAGUUAUCAAUAUAGAAUAAGGUACGGUUAAUAAAUUCUUUAUCAAUAAAGAAUAAAGUAUGUUUACCAUUAAAAAUGCAUCAAACAGGCAUGCAGGCAUGAGGGAACCUUCUGGGUAAUGGAAGUAUUCCAUAUUUUGAUCUGGAUAGUGAUAACAUGGGUGUUUACACACAUAAAUAUUCACCAUGCUGUAUACUUAGGACUUAUGUAUCUUACUGUAUAUAAAUUAGUCUUCAAUUAAAAAAAUGACUCCAGAUAUGUAAGUCAUUUGUAUUGAUUUGUAUGA